rnacentral:rRNA from 1 species
UACAGAGGUCUCAAGCGUUGUUCGGAUUCAUUGGGCGUAAAGGGUGCGUAGGUGGCGAGGUUAGUCAGGUGUGAAAUCUCGGGGCUCAACCCCGAAACUGCACUUGAUACUGCCUUGCUAGAGUACUGGAGAGGAGAUUGGAAUUUACGGUGUAGCAGUGAAGUGCGUAGAUAUCGUAAGGAAGACCAGUGGCGAAGGCGAAUCUCUGGACAGUUACUGACACUGAGGCACGAAGGCCAGGGGAGCAAACGGG